AUUGAACGCUGGCGGCAGGCCUAACACAUGCAAGUCGAGCGGGGUUUUCGGACCUAGCGGCGGACGGGUGAGUAAUGCGUAGGAAGCUACCCGAUAGAGGGGGAUACCAGUUGGAAACGACUGUUAAUACCGCAUAAUGUCUACGGACCAAAGUGUGGGACCUUCGGGCCACAUGCUAUCGGAUGCGCCUACGUGGGAUUAGCUAGUUGGGGGGGUAAUGGCUCAACAAGGCGACGAUCCCUAGCUGGUUUGAGAGGAUGAUCAGCCGCACUGGAACUGAGACACGGCCCAGACUCCUACGGGAGGCAGCAGUGGGGAAUAUUGGACAAUGGGGGCAAGCCUGAUCCAGCCAUGCCGCGUGUGUGAAGAAGGCCUUCGGGUUGUAAAGCACUUUCAGUAGGGAGGAAGGGUGUUGUGUUAAUAGCACAGCAUUUUGACGUUACCUACAGAAGAAGCACCGGCUAACUCUGUGCCAGCCGCCGCCGUAACAC
rnacentral:rRNA from 1 species